GAACUCGGGACCUUGCGCUUGCGAGGCAGGCGGCAGAACCACUGAGCUAAAUCCCCAGCCCUUGUAACAACUAAUAUUAUUGAAAGAAAGUUACAUUAUCUUCAUUCGUAAUGACAGAAGAAAUACAAAUGGCUGAUAAAUACAUGAAGAAGCACUCAGCAUCUCUGGCCAUUAGAGAAAUGCAAAUUAAAACAACACUAAGAAUCCAUGUUACCCCAGAAAGAAUGGCCAUAAUCAAGCAUUCAAAUAGGAACCCUUCUACAAUGUUGAUGAACAUUGGAAACGACAAUUUCUACAUGUGUGAAGGAUAUAUUGAAGGCUUGUGGUUUACAGACAAGAUCUUUAGAAAUUAGACACUCAAGGACCAGGUAAAUAAAUACCAGAAACCAAGAAUACUUUUCUUCAUCAGUCCGCACAACCCUCACCCUUCUGUAAUUCCAUCAAACACAGAGAAAUGACCACCUUGGCAAAUGGCCACAGAGGAUGUCAACCAUUUUUUGGAGGCAAGU